UAUUAAUUUAAUAUGAAAGCUUAUUUAACUUUAAAUGAAUAUAAUUUUCAAUUUCCGAAAUAUAAAAAAAUCUACAUUUUUAAUUGAUUUAAUAUUAAUUCAAAUUAUUUUUACUCAAUGCCCUGCGCCUAAAAUAAUUAAAUGUCUAAAUUAUUAAUCAGACGGCAUAUACAUUUUUGAAAAUGAUUUGAGAGUUUUAGUCAAUUAUUUGAUUUAUCAUAUAAUUUGAAAGAAAAUUAAGAAACAUUAUUAAAAAGUAGGAUUCAAUGUUUUAUAUUGUUUAAACACAAAUUUAAUUGUUGUACUGUUUGGAAAGAUAUCUAAUAGUAUCAUUGGAUAUCUAGUGAUCUUAUUAAUUAUUGAUUACAUUUUGUACAAUAUCAUAUGACUUAUGACUAAAUGUUAAGACCAUUAAAAUGUUUCUGUUUUAAUAAAAGAAUAUAUAAUAUAAGAUAGGACUAAAUGUUAGGUGCAUUAAAUGUUUCCGAUUUAAUAAAGUAGUCUAUAUAAUAUAACAUAUGACUUAAAUUGAGGUCCAUUAUAAAAGUACUAAACAAUAAGCUAAAUAAUAUUUUCAAAAGAUAUAUUUCCUCCCCCCUCCCGUCUUUCAGAGAAAAAAAUUUGAAAUCUAAAAUCAAUGGAGAUGAAAAGAAAGAUUGUAUUUAUGGUCACGAUGUUGAUGAUCGGAAACUUUAUCGUUUAAUCUGAAGAUAUAAACAAAGAUUUUCAAAAAUGUUUCACUCUUUGUCUUAACAUAUGUAUCCUUGGUCCAGUGCGAGAUAAAUUAGGAUGUUUCGGUGUGUAACUUUUUUCAUUACUCGUACUAACAACCCAUAAGCUUAACAUACCCGACACCAUUCUCAUUACUCGUACUGGAAACAUCCUAAUUUAUCUCGUACUGGAAACCAAGGAUACAUAUGUUAAACUGAACAAAAACAAAUUAAACAAAAUUAAACCAAACCGAACAUAAACUAAACCGAACCAAAAACAAACCAAACUAAAACCAUACAUAAACUAAACCAAACUAAUUUCUGUUGACUUUGGUAUAUUUAUUUUUAGUAUCAAAUAAACCAAACCAAAAUGAACCCAAACCGAACUCAUAUUUAAACCAAAAUUUCCACCCUUUAGGUUUUAGAGGGAUUUCAUCGUGAUUGAGUUUCUUCUUUUCGUCUGCGUUUUUAUCUUGGGUUUUACUUUUUUUUUGUCAGCAAAAUAAACAGACUCAUAUAGACUCUGCAAUCCAAAUAGAUAACUCACCAUCCAUAUGAACAACAAAUGACGGUUGUUUUCUUGUACUGCGUGCGAGACUGUCCGCCCUUAAAUUCUUUGGAUUGGAUUUUUGCACGUUAUUUUAAAUUCACCUCUUUCAUAAACUUAGUUUUUAAAUUUAUCUAAAAAUAUUUAGAAGUUAUACAAAUGCAAUCUAAUAUUAUUUAAAAUCAGUUGUAUUUUUCGUGAUAUAACGUGAAAGGUAAUAUUAUUUUCAUAUGAUAUUCAAUUUUAAUAAGAUAACUAGAUUCUGAUUGCACUUUUUAAAGUGCGAGAAUAUUUUUAAAACAAAAUUUUAUUUACAAAAUUAAAAUCUUUUAAUUUUUUAAUAUUUGAAAUAUAUAUAAAUAUACUAUUUCUAUUUAUAUUAAAUAUAAAACUUAUUUAAAAUAUUUCUUAAUUUUGUUUUUCAAUUAAUUCCUCUUUAUCAUUAAAAAAAUUUAUAAUGUAUUUGAUUAAUGCUAAUUUCAAUUUUGAUAAAUUCUUAUAAAAAAUUAGAUGUCAAUUUAUUUACUCUAAUAAUUUAUUUAUUUACACGAUUAAUUUAAUAUGAAAGCUUAUUUAACUUUAAAUGGAUAUAAUUUUCAAUUUGCGAAAUAUAAAAAAAUCUACUUUUUUAAUUGAUUUAAUAUUAAUUUAAAUUAUUUUUACUCAAUGCCCUGCGCCUAAAAUAAUUAAAUGUCUAAAUUAUUAAUUAGACGGCAUAUACAUUUUUGUAAAUGAUUUGAGAGUUUUAGUCAAUUAUUUGAUUUAUCAUAUAAUUUGAAAGAAAAUUAAGAAACAUUAUUAAAAAGUACGAUUCAAUGUUUUAUAUUGUUUAAACAUAAAUUUAAUUGUUGUACUGUUUGGAAAGAUAUCUAAUAGUAUCAUUGGAUAUCUAGUGAUCUUAUUAAUUAUUGAUUACAUUUUGUACAAUAUCAUAUGACUUAUGACUAAAUCUUAAGACCAUUAAAAUGUUUUUGUUUUAAUAAAAGAAUAUAUAAUAUAAGAUAUGACUAAAUGUUAGGUGCAUUAAAUGUUUCUGAUUUAAUAAAGUAGACUAGAUAGUAUAACAUAUGACUUAAAUUUAGGUCCAUUAUAACCACCCCCCCCUCCCCCUUUCUGAGAGAAAAAUUGAAAUCUAAAAACAAUGGAGAUGAAAACAAAGAUUGUAUUUAUGGUCACGAUGUUGAUGAUCGGAAACCUUAUAGUUGAAUCGGAAGAUAUAAACAAAGAUUUUCAAAAAUGUUUCACUCUUUGUCUUAACAUAUGUAUCCUUGGUCCAGUACGAGAUAAAUUAGGAUGUUUCGGUAAAUGUGGUAAGUCAUGUGGGAGACCAUCCGAAAUUGAUCGUGGGGUUUCGGCUCAAGAUCCUAAAAAAGAGAUCGAUGUGAAGAAGGCAAAAGACUGUUUGUAUUCAGGUUUGGAUACGGGCGAUAAAAAAUUCUGAAGGCAAUAUUAAUUAUACAUAUUUUCCGUAUUUGAUGAUUUAAUAAAGAUACAUAUUAUUGGUUAUUUCAAUUUUGUAAUCAAUUCAAAUAAACUUCUGAUAACUGAUCA